rnacentral:rRNA from 1 species
AUGCCAGGGAUCCCACGCGAGCGGGCCGACCAUAGUCUCAACAUCAUAAAGGGAUCCAAGCCAGUUAAAGAGAUGCUGCGACAGUUCUCCAAACCCAAACGACAAGCUAUGGGGGAGGAGCUAGCCAAACUACUAGAGGUCGGGUUCAUCAGAGAAAUUAAACACUCGGACUGGCUCGCCAACCUGGGCAUGGUACCAAAGAAGGACAAGUCAUGGCGCCUUUGUGUCGACUUCAAAGACCUCAAUAAGGCCUGCCCCAAGGACCCCUUCACACUACCCCGCAUUGACCAAAUCAUUGAUGCAACCGCGGGACAUGAUUCACUAUGUUUCCUCGACGCAUAUUCUGGAUACCAUCAGAUCAAGAUGAAGGAAUCCGACCAAGCCGCAACAACCUUUAUUACCCUGUACGGGCCUAUUUGUUUCAACACUAUGCCUUUUGGGCUCAAAAAUGCUGGUGCCACUUACCAACGCAUGAUUCAAACAUGUUUGGAAAAACAAAUAGGCAAAAUAGUGGAGGCAUACGUCGACGACGUGGUCAUCAAGACUAAAGACGCUGAAUCACUGGUAGAUGAUCUACGCCUAACAUUCGACAAUCUCCAAGAAUAUGACAUAUGGCUCAAUCCGGAAAAAUGUGUCUUCGGAGUACCAGCUAGGAAACUACUCGGGUUCAUCGUUUCGAAUAGAGGAAUCGAGGCAAACCCAACCAAAAUCCAAGCCCUGACACAAUUGGCAAUACCAACAGACUUAAAGCAGGUAUAG